GCGGGCGUGGCGGAAUGGCAGACGCGCCAGACUUAGGAUCUGGUGGGCUCGUCCCGUGGGAGUUCGAGUCUCCCCGCCCGCA
rnacentral:tRNA from 2 species